CGUCAGACCGGAAUUCCCGGUGCCGCCGCAACCGCCGUCUGUGCGCCCACCUCUGCUGCCGCCAUGGGGAUCUUAGAGAAGAUCUCGGAGAUCGAGAAGGAGAUCGCUCGGACGCAGAAGAACAAGGCCACUGAGUAUCAUCUGGGCCUGCUGAAAGCUAAGCUCGCCAAGUAUCGGGCCCAGCUCCUGGAACCGUCCAAAUCGGCCUCGUCCAAAGGAGAGGGCUUUGAUGUCAUGAAGUCGGGCGAUGCCCGUGUGGCGCUGAUUGGAUUUCCCUCUGUGGGUAAGGUCAGUGAUGGUCAGUGUGGGCCUCGGGGAGGAAAGCAAGAAGUCAUCUUUCAAACAGGUGACCAUCCAGGCUCCCCUUGCUGCCUUUCUGCUUAGCUCCAGGGACACAGAAGACCUGGCCUCCCCCAGGGUCAGAUCCUAGCCCUUUAUCAUCCUAACAUGGAGGACGCUCUUUCCUCUUGUCAGCAGAUGUAGCCCUACUUGGUCUUCCGAUUCAGUCAUCAUGCACAAAUACUUCUCGAGUGUAUAUCUCGAGCGGUGUCAUGUGCUGGGCACUGUGCCAGGGACUAGAGACAUAGCACGAACG
rnacentral:sRNA from 1 species